GACGAACGCUGGCGGCGUGCUUAACACAUGCAAGUCGAACGCUGAAGCUUGGGUGCUUGCAUCUGGGUGGAUGAGUGGCGAACGGGUGAGUAAUACGUGAGUAACCUGCCCUUGACUCUGGGAUAAGCCUGGGGAACUGGGUCUAAUACUGGAUACUACAUUCUCUCGCAUGGGGGUGUGUGGAAAGGGUUUUACUGGUUUUGGAUGGGCUCACGGCCUAUCAGCUUGUUGGUGGGGUAAUGGCCUACCAAGGCGACGACGGGUAGCCGGCCUGAGAGGGUGACCGGCCACACUGGGACUGAGACACGGCCCAGACUCCUACGGGAGGCAGCAGUGGGGAAUAUUGCACAAUGGGCGAAAGCCUGAUGCAGCGACGCCGCGUGAGGGAUGACGGCCUUCGGGUUGUAAACCUCUUUCAGCACGGAAGAAGCGAAAGUGACGGUACGUGCAGAAGAAGCGCCGGCUAACUACGUGCCAGCCGCCGCGGUAAUAC
rnacentral:rRNA from 1 species